UCUUGGGCAUUAUGGUGGAAGGGAUAGCUCAGUGGUUUGAGCAUUGGCCUGUUAAACUCAGGGUUGUGAACUGAAUCCUUAAGGGGGCAUUUAGGAACUGGUGUAA